UUACAACCACCCAGACCUCUGUAAGUACCCACUGCCCCCCUUACAACCACCCAGACCUCUGUAAGUACCCACUGCCCCCCUUACAACCACCCGGACCUCUAUAAGUACCCACUGCCCCCCUUACAACCACCCAGACCUCUGUAAGUACCCACUGCCCCCCUUACAACCACCCAGACCUCUGUAGGUACCCACUGCCCCCCUUACAACCACCCAGACCUCUUUAGGUACCCACUGCCCCCCUAACAACCGCCCAGACCUCUGUAGGUACCCACUGCCCCCCUAACAACCACCCAGACCUCUGUAGGUACCCACUGCCACCCUUACAACCACCCAGACCUCUGUAGGUACCCACUGCCCCCCUUACAACCACCCAGACCUCUGUAGGUACCCACUGCCCCCCUUACAACCACCCAGACCUCUGUAGGUACCCACUGCCCCCCUUACAACCACCCAGUAAACCUUAUAAAAGUGUCAGUUAUGAUCUAAAGUCAGUCUGACCUCUUUCUCGUUGGUUCU